CUGUGGCCUUGAGGGGGCGGCCCCGCUGCGUCCUGAGCACGCGGCCCGCCCGGGUGGCCCGAGCCUCGGCGGUCCCCAUCCCUCUGCUGCGAGUGCGCGGAGCCCGGAGCGCCCGGGAGCCUGCAGGGCCGCCUCUUUCCAAGCUGCGCUUCCAGGGACUUCGCGUUUGUGCCGGGCGGGCUGCGGUUGGAGGAAAGGUGCCCACACGGCAGUUCCGGGGUCCGGCCCCUUCUUCCGGGAGGGUUUCUCCGCCAAAGCCGCGCGGCGCUUCUUUUCCCUCUUGGCACAGAAGUGAGGAAGAGCAGCUGAGCCGGUCUCGGGUCUCCCGGCUCCGGCAGUCUGAGGACCCGAGAUGCGCCAGCCAGAGGCGGGGUCUCACUAUGUUUCCCAGGCUGACCUUGAAGCGAUCCUAACACUUCGGCCUCCCAAAGUGCUGGGAUUAUAGGCGUGAGCCACGUGCAGGACCUGGACCAAGUCUUGAUUCUGUCUGGAUGCCCCCAACUGAAACAUCAGGAUGCCCCCCGGGGGUCCAUGGGGCCGGCAAACACAUCAGCCUCUGGAAGUGGACACCCAGAAAUGUGAUGAAAACUCAUGAAAUGGUUCAAAGAAGAUUCCACAUCAGGGCCAAUAGCAGUGUUCUGGGGGGGACGGUCUUGCUCUGUUGCCCAGGCUGGAAUGCAGUGGCAUGAUCAUAG